AUACCUUUCUCGGCCUUUUGGCUAAGAUCAAGUGUAGUAUCUGUUCUUAUCAGUUUAAUAUCUGAUACGUGGACCAAUGGUCCACACGAUAUUAAAUUAAUUUCUUUUGGGGGAGUGUCCUCCACAGUAGCUUGCUAUUGGGGCUCUCGCGCGUCGCCCAAGCGUUGCACUAUUGCAUGGGCCUGGCGCACCCCAC
rnacentral:snRNA from 2 species